UACGUAGGGUGCAAGCGUUUGUCCGGAAUUAUUGGGCGUAAAGAGCUCGUAGGCGGUUUGUCGCGUCUGCUGUGAAAACCCGAGGCUCAACCUCGGGCCUGCAGUGGGUACGGGCAGACUAGAGUGCGGUAGGGGAGAUUGGAAUUCCUGGUGUAGCGGUGGAAUGCGCAGAUAUCAGGAGGAACACCAAUGGGCGAAGGCAGAUCUCUGGGCCGUAACUGACGCUGAGGAGCGGAAAGCAUGGGGAGCGAACAGGAUAGAUACC
rnacentral:rRNA from 1 species